GUCUCUGUGGCGCAAUCGGUUAGUGCGUUAGGCUGUUAAUUGAAAGGUUGGUGGUUCAAGCCCACCCAAGGACG
rnacentral:tRNA from 1 species